rnacentral:pre_miRNA from 11 species
GUACACCCCAAGGGAGUGGCACCUGAGAACACCGGUUGUGUUGGCUGCGCCAAGCUCUGCUAGCUAAUGCAUUUUGUGUUCUCAGGUCACCCCUUUGGGGCACCA